GGCCCAGAUCGUUUACCGUGAAAAAAUUAGAGUGUUCAAAGCAGGCAGAUCCAAUUUUCUGCCACCGAAUACAUUAGCAUGGGAUAAUGGAAUAGGACCCUGUCCUCCUAUUUUCAGUUGGUUUUGGCAGCGCGAGGACUAGGGUAAUGAUUAAUAGGGAUAGUUGGGGGCAUUAAUAUUUAAUUGUCAGAGGUGAAAUUCUUGGAUUUAUGAAAGAUUAACUUAUGCGAAAGCAUCUGCCAAGGAUGUUUUCAUUAAUCAAGAACGAAAGUUAGGGGAUCGAAGACGAUCAGAUACCGUCGUAGUCUUAACCAUAAACGAUGCCGACCAGCGAUUAGGAGACGUUGAAUACAAAACACCACCAUCGGUGCGGUCGUCCUUGGCGUCGGUCUUUCGGGGCCGGCGCGGGGACGGCUUAGCCCGGUGGCACCGGUGAAUGACUCCCCUAGCAGCUUGUGAGA
rnacentral:rRNA from 1 species